GGCAGCAUAGAGGAGUUCAUCCUGCCACUGUCCACAUGCUAUACAUUUUGUGAUUUAAACAGGAUUUCAAGCUACUGUAAUAUUUUAAAAUACUGCUAUGAAGAAACAUACUGCUACACAAGUCACGGAAAUAAUCACUCCCUACAAAGAAGUGCUAAGUUAAGAAACAUUUUAACAAGGAGUUUCUAGGCUUGCUAUCAGGCAGUUGCACUAUACACCAGCACUGGACAUUUCAGCACAGAAGAGCUGGCUGGUAGCCUUAGCACAGUAACAGCACAACUCAAACAGAUGAUUAUUACAGUUAAGAUGUGAUGAUAGCAUCUGUGAAAAUGUAGCCAACCCAUCAAGGAACAUGCAGAAUUGAAAUGAACAGUUGCAAUGGCAGUAGAGACUAGUGAUCAUAAAUCAUCUAGCAGCCUAAGUACAGACAAAGCUGAGGAUCUGAAAAGCACCCCAAGCACAUAUCCAUCAACAUUGUUUGAGGCUGCUGUACUGUGCAGGUAAAUGAUACAGGACAAAGAGGGUGUGAGCUCAUGUUCUGACUCCAUGCAAACUGCUUUGAAUAGGGUUUUGCCUCCAUAUAUAUUGUUAUAUAUGGGUCUGAGAAAGAAUUUGCAUCUCCUUAUUUCAUCCAAGAGAGUUGAAGGUACUUGACAAGUGGAGAAAGGAGUACUUCAUGAAGGGUCACUGACAGUUUUGCAAGAAGGACCCAGUGAAUACAGAUUCUAAAUCUCUUUGAGUAUAAAAGAUAUGUGAACAUAAUGU